rnacentral:tRNA from 1 species
UUAAUUGAAGCCAAAAUAGAGGCAUAUUACCGUUAAUAAUAUCAAUGAAUAAAAGUUCCAAUUAAA